rnacentral:rRNA from 1 species
AGUCUGGUGCCAGCAGCCGCGGUAAUUCCAGCUCCAAUAGCGUAUAUUAAAGUUGUUGCAGUUAAAAAGCUCGUAGUUGGAUUUGUGGUUUACGCAAGGCUUCCGUCCCUCUUGGGUUUCGGUGUUGCCUGGCGUUGCCAUCCUUGGGUGGAAUCUGUGUGGCAUUAGGUUGUCGUGCAGGGGAUGCCCAUCGUUUACUGUGAAAAAAUUAGAGUGUUCAAAGCAGGCUUAUGCCGUUGAAUAUGUUAGCAUGGAAUAAUAAUAUAGGACCUUGGUACUAUUUUGUUGGUUUGCGCACCGAGGUAAUGAUUAACAGGGUCAACUGGGGAUAUUCGUAUUCCGCUGUCAGAGGUGAAAUUCUUAGAUUUUUGGAAGACGAACUACUGCGAAAGCAUUUAUCAAGGAUGUUUUCAUUAAUCAAGAACGAAAGUUAGGGGAUCGAAGAUGAUUAGAUACCAUCGUAGUCUUAACCAUAAACUAUGCCGACAAGGGAUUGGUGGAGUAUCGUUACGUCUCCAUCAGCACCUUAUGAGAAAUCAAAAGUCUUUGGGUUCCGGGGGGAGUAUGGUCGCAAGGCUGAAACUUAAAGAAAUUGACGGAAGGGCACCACCAGGAGUGGAGCCUGCGGCUUAAUUUGACCCAACACGGGAAAACUUACCAGGUCCAGACAUAGUGAGGAUUGACAGAUUGAGAGCUCUUUCUUGAUUCUAUGGGUGGUGGUGCAUGGCCGUUCUUAGUUGGUGGAGUGAUUUGUCUGGUUGAUUCCGUUAACGAACGAGACCCCUGCCUGCUAAAUAGCCCAGUGAGUGAUUUUUCACUGACUGUUGGCUUCUUAGAGGGACGUGCAUUCUAUUAGAUGCAGGAAGAUAGGGGCAAUAACAGGUCUGUGAUGCCCUUAGAUGUCCUGGGCCGCACGCGCGCUACACUGAUGAAUUCAACGAGUUUUUUCCUUGGCCGAGAGGCCUGGGCAAUCUUUUGAACGUUCAUCGUGAUAGGGAUAGAUUAUUGCAAUUAUUAAUCUUGAACGAGGAAUUCCUAGUAAACGCAGAUCAUCAAUCUGCAUUGAUUACGUCCCUGCCCUUUGUACACACCGCCCGUCGCACCUACCGAUUGAAUGGUCCGGUGAAGCCUCGGGAUUGUGGUCAGUUUGCUUUAUUGCGAGUUGAUUGUGAGAACUUGUCUAAACCUUAUCAUUUAGAGGAAGGUGAAGUC